AAAACUAACAUGAGGAUUUGGGGUUUCUUUGCAAUUUUCAUUACAGACACCGUGGCACAGUAUUCUGUAGAUCAGCCAGGCAACUACAGAUGUAAACAAGGGGAUCCAUUUCAGAUAAACUGUACCUAUACAGGCACAGAGAACAGCCUACAAUGGUACCGGCAGACUCGUGACCAACCACCCCAAGCAUUGUUAUUACUGUUUGGUACUGGUUACAAAUCAGAAAACAGUUUUACUAUGUUUUUGGACACUAAGAGCAAGUUUACCUUUCUGUACAAGAACACAAGUCAGACAGAAGACUCAGCAGUGUAUUUCUGUGCACUGGCAGCACAGCAGUUCAAACUGAUAGAAGCAAAGUACAAGAUCCUAUUGCAAUAAAAUAGCACAGCAUGCUCAUGGUGCCUUGAGAAUGAAUGGUGUGCCCAAAACAUGUGAUGUCAUAUAGUACCUAAUAACAGAUGUCACGUGCUACA